rnacentral:rRNA from 1 species
GAGGUUACUGCUAUCGGGGUCCGACUAAGCCAUGCGAGUCGAGAGGGUAAAGCCCUCGGCGUAAUGCUCAGUAACACGCGGAUAACCUGCCCUUGGGUCCGGGAUAACCCCGGGAAACUGGGACUAAUACCGGAUAGGUCAAAGAUACUGGAAUGUUCUUUGGCCCAAAGCUCCGGUGCCCAAGGAUGGGUCUGCGGCCUAUCAGGUUGUAGUGGGUGUAACGUACCUACUAGCCUACGACGGGUAAGGGUUGUGAGAGCAAGAUCCCUGAGAUGGAUUCUGAGACAUGAAUCCAGGCCCUACGGGGUGCAGCAGGCGCGAAACCUUUACACUGCGGGAAACCGCGAUAAGGGGACCCCGAGUGCCAGCACCUAGUGCUGGCUGUCCCGCUGUCUAAAUAACAGUGGUUAGCAAGGGCCGGGCAAGACCGGUGCCAGCCGCCGCGGUAACACCGGCGGCCCGAGUGGUAGCCGUUUUUAUUGGGUUUAAAGGGCCCGUAGCCGGCCU